CAAACGAAAAUGGUGUCUAUGUUUUUUUUUGUAGCCCAGCCAGUCUGUGUGUCGUGGAAAUGAACCUGUUUAAUGUCCACAAUGAAAUAAGCUAGCAGAGUGUUAACAUGUUGCGUUAGCCUACAUUUAGUCAGCGCAGGUAAAUGUUUAGCAUCGAUUAUUAAAUCAGUUGCUCUUCCCCCAUUUGCCAGAUUUCACAACAAAUGAGUCAGCAGCCGCACUGUCUCCCCAUAACUUUACCCCUCCCUGUUCCAGUGAAGAAGGUUGGAUGCAACAUCUGCUGCAGUUUGUUUUCAUCCACCCAUCAAACCCGACUAUGCUUAUGAUCAGAGAGAGCCACCCUGCUCCUGCUUGUAGUGCCAACUCUACGACUCUGGGUCCUGCCCUGUUGCUCGGAGGGAUAGGCCACCACUCGAGUGGAUGACCUCCGCACCUGCAUGCCUUCCAUCUCCCUCAUGUCCCUCGCCAUCUGUGACAGCGUCUGACCCGGAUUGGUCUGCAGACGCUGGAAGAGGCUCUCUCUGUUGAUUUUCCUCUCAGGGCAGCUGAAAGUCAAAGCUACACCGGAGUCUGUCUUCAUCUCUCUGGAGAAACCGUCCGAGGUGCCGUCAAAGCAGCGGCCAAUAGCGAUUUCUUUUGCAACCCUGGGAUUCUGGUCCGUGACGGUAUAUAUGCCGUAAUUGUGCCCCAAAGGAUCCACGGGAGCUAACAUGGUGAAGGCAUUGGAGUCGUUGUUUUGCGCCACUGGAGGGUGUUUGAUGAGGUACUCUUGCAGGAGGUUGUUGGUGGCGAUCCUGCGACAGUUCCCUUGUGGAAUGACAGAUAUAAGAGAUCUAUCCACUUCAGCUUGAUCGAACAACAUGCCACUACAUUUGAACUCCACACAAGCUGCCGACGUAUUGGCCUCUCGCAUGUCUCGAGUGCUGCGUAUAUCCCGGAUGCCAUAAAGUUUGCCUUUGGUCUCUGGGUGUGUUCCUCCUAGGUUCUUAGACCUGACCAUCACUUCCUUUUGUCCUUGGACUUUAACCUUAAUGAAGCAUGCUCGGAACUCUUGAGGGUUAGGCCACCAAGAGAGGUAGUCCCCUGUCCAGGUUGUCAGAUCAUUCUCCUCAAAGGGAACAACGUUGUAUUCAUACUUGUCCUUUUCCACCCUAAAGAAUCUGAAAUGGUUUGAAUCAACCGGUGCAUUUUCACAGGCUAUUAAAUUCUGGUAUGGAUAUAUGGGUCCAUUGGUCUCAUCGAGGUUAUUUUGGUUGGGCUUUGCUAGAUUAAUUCUGAAUGCUGUUUUCUUCAAAGCUGGAUCUUCAUGGUCAGAGCGCUGGUAGUCAAUUUUAUCCAGAUAUGGCUGAGAUACUCCAAUGAUAUUUGGAUUCAUCUUUGGCGAGGAGGGGGCUGCCUCCAGUUCCUCACCACCCAUCAUGGCUGUUACAUAAGCGGUGUAGGCAUCAGGCCUCUGGGCGUCACAGAAAGCAGGUAAACAGGCCCCAUUAGGGCCGGUGAUGACGCUGUCGAAGCGGCCCCAUGCUCUAGGGUUGGAGGAGUAACCAGGUUUGGGUUCCAAGUUUAUCAAGCUGAUCACAACGCCUUCCAGCUGUUCAACGGGAAGGAACUUGUCGCUCAUGUAGGCACGAACUUUGACAUAGCAACGUCUGCUUUCAGGCACGUCCAAGUUAAAGAGCCUACGCUCUCUGAUCUCCAUGUUGCCAAUGAGGAAGGUACGCUCCUCUCGUUUGCUCCGCCCGUGUCCACCGGUAGUUGUGGUGCUAGAGAAGUCGCCUUCCUCCUCCCACACUCCAGUGUCGGGGUUUAAAGACCACAGUUUCAUUUUGGGGAUAUGCUCUUGCAUUUUGACGUGCUGUGUGUCGAGAAGGACUUGAACCGCUCCAGCACCAAGUACCUGCUUGUUGCUCUCGUCCCGGAAGUCAACAGAGAACAUGCCGUAUGUCCUCAAAGGGAGCAUGUCACCCUCGCUGUCCACAAAGUUAAGGUCGCCCGGUGUAGCAGAAGCCGUAGUGAUAUUUCUUGGGUCUAUGAAAGUGACACUGGCUUUUACGGUUCCCUCGUAAACGUCUCCAUUGUCUUUGUGGAAGGAAUUGGCUGGAAUGACCAACUGCCCAAUUGGGUCUUCCCCUUUUAUUUCUCCCAGGUUAAUAGAAUUGGUCUCUCCUGCAUUGAUGUCAAUCGGAGCCUGCUUCCUCAUCACCUUCACGUCAUGGUAGAUGGAUCCACCCUUCUUGUCCAAAAUGAAGACCUUCGGAGUGUCUAGAAACUUCUCAGUGGGGUCAACAAAAUUCACCACCAAUCUCUGUGUGUCAGGAGUAACUUGCAAGGUGAAACCUCCCUGGUAUCCAGUGGUGCCCACCCUCUCUUUACCAAUGUAGAUGUGGCCAAAUCUCAGUGGAUCACCAUUCUCUGCUGUGACCACUCUGCCACGCACCAGCACUGUUGGUUGCACACACUUCUGACAGCUGCACUGGGAUACGGUCCUGAUUGGGAGAUUGUAGCUCCCACAGUCGAUGGUCCGGCUUUCCAUUGCUUGGACGCCGCAGCAAAAGCCGUCUCCGUCUCUGCAGCGCAUAUCAUAGUCGAGUGAGCCAGCGCAUUUGUUAUGAGGGCAGCGGCCAGCGUUGUAAAACUUGGAGUCUGUCCCAGGUUGAACGCAGUCCAGCGGCAGUCUGAUCAGAUGCGCCUCGGGGGUGGAAUUGCAUGCUGUAAUUCCUUUUGCUGUGAAUUUUCAAAAAAAAAAAAAAAAAACAGUGAGUUGUGUCGAUAUGACACAUAAAAAAGAGAAAUGGCCAAUCUGACACACAUUAAACAUUAAAGUCGUUGUAAAAAGUGGACUUUAAGGGGCUGUAUGCAACUUGUUCCAAAUGACAUUUUUUGUACCAAAAAAAUCCAAGAACAUCACCAGCAGUUAACAUAUGUUACCAACAGUGGUUUAAGAACAGAUAGUACAAAAAAACGUCUCUAUUCUUCACAAUUACAAAUUAAACUGCAUAAAAUGUGUCAAACUUUAGUUCGGCAGGAAUAAAAUAACUGGUGUUCAUGGGUGUCACUACUGUCUGGCAUUCACAUACAUGUCCGAGGCGCAUGUGCAUGUACAAAAUAUCAUUUUGUGAUUAUGGUAGGAUACCGUGGUCCCUCGUUUAUCACAGUGAAUUGGUUCCAGGCCUGACUGUGCAUUUCUGCGAAGAUUCCAUGUUAAUAAACCAAAUACUUUCGUAGUUAGAGCAUAAACUUGUUUAAUUCAUAUAAAAAAAAUAAAAUAAUUAAAAAUAAAUAGAAAUAAUUCAUAUAUAUUUUGGCACUGUGAUGCAUAGCAUGUGCAUGGGCUGCUUAAUUAGACUUUCAAGGGGAAAUGAGAUGAGAGCUGGAAAGACAGGAGUAAUAGAGUAUACAGUGAUUAAUAUGCAUUGUAUCAUAGAUGAGCUUCUGGUCAAGUUUCAUCACAGAACUCCCCUAUGUAAUUAAUAUGGUAUAGCGGUACUCUCGGCUUCAUAAUAAAGAAUGCAAAGUCUGAAAUGUGGGUGAUUAAGUGAAGCAUAAUGCACAGUGUAAUGGCCCUACACACUCAUAGAACCUCCAGCCAUAAUAACUUCUGGGGUGCAGGGAUGCCUGUUUGUUAAUACUCAUGUUAGCUAACAAGCACCUGGAGGACAUUUGCAAUUAGGAGCCACCACCAUUUAGAUGCGUAAUUGUGUGACUCUCACAGGUUUUAUUGUUGAUUUUAACCCCCAUGUUGGGGAGGAAUUGCAUUUAGGGGGUAUUUGCAAUAUCCAGCAUUAUUGUUUAGCGUGAAUAUAAUGAAAGAAAAAAAAUACUUGAGCCAUGGCCAGAUAUUUUUUUUUUUCUCCAGUGAAGUAAUGUAAGCUGGGGGUUUUUUGUUCUCUUAAUGCAUGGACACGUCUCACAGAUGAGGUCUUGCUUUGAGGUCGCUUCCUCUUCAAAUGCAAUAUUCAAGUCUCUCAGCUGUUGCUCCCUAAAGACGAGAAUGAAUUGUGCUUUUGCUUGAGCCUGUGAAAGAUGUCAACUAAGUCUUGACAUUGUCAAGUUGUACCACUUUGAAUCAAAGAGUGAGCUUUUAUCAGUUGGAUGCUGGUUCUGGCUAGGUUUUAAUUGUUGAAAAAGAAAAAAAAAAAAACAUACAGUAGCUGAUAGAUGUUCAAGACUUACCAAUGACAGUUAGGGAUGCUGGCGAGGACUUAAUGCUGCCUGCUGCACUGCUGGUUUUGCAAUAAUACUGUCCAGACUGUUCUUGCUUCAGGUCCUUCAAUACAAGGUCUUCUUGAUACUUGUACACUUUUCUGUCCAGCAGAGUCCCGUUGUGGUACCUCGGUGACACAAUUUUAUUGGUAAGAAAAAGUCAACACAAAUUGACAUAGCUUUGUUUUACAGGUGACAGCAUAUUAGUGUAAUACUGUAUCUAACAAUAUAUCUCAUUCAUAAGCAAUUCAUUUUGUUUUUAGAAUAUGCUGAGGGCCAAAAAUGUCUCACGUGCCACACUUUGGACAUCCGUGAUGGACAGAAUGUUAUUUACCAUAUUUUACAGACUAUUAAGUCACACUUAUUUCCUAGUUCGGCUGGCCUUGCGAGUCGUCACAAUGACAGAUUUUGCUGGACGAUAAUUGUCCUACAAAUUAUUGCCGAUAAACAACAUUAUGUUGAAGCCAUUUUUUCAUUAAUGUAAUAAUAAUAAUAAUAAUAAUAUAUGACAUAAUAAUGCCAGUACAAUGUAUCAAAGGCAUCAAAAUAAACUUAAAUUUCUCAAGAAUGUUUAACAUGGUAAUUGGAAUGUCAAGAGCUUUUAAAUAAAAUAAUUUAAACAAACAACAUAAUCAAUUAAACAAAAAAAGACCAAAAAAAACCCAACGAAAUUAAAUUGGACUAUAAGUCUCUUUUAGAAAAAACUGCACUUAAAUAAAAAUCACAAUCAAUCCCGAUAUUUCUGAUUUUGAAUCAGUAUCACUUUCGUUAUUGUCUGAAUAUUGACCAAAAAAAGGGAGAAACAACCCGGAAAUACUGAUGUGAACCAAGGAGUGAACACUGUCGACAGCGGCAAGAGGGCGCGCUAAGCUUAUGACAACUACCGUAAUUCCAGGUGUAUUAGCCUACUUUUUUCCCAAGCUUUGAACCCUGCGGCUUGUACAGCGAUGUGGCUCAUUUAUGGCUAAAAGAACCACAGUUCCCAUGAUGCUUAGAGUGCAGCUUCAACAAGAAGUGAAGUGGACGCUAAUAUCAUGUUUCAAAGUUGUGUUUUGAUCUGACACAUCUUUAGUAAGUUUGAUCAAGUGCAGAAUUACUACAGUUUCAGUUUGGACUGCUUGGACCGCCAACCAUCCACUAUCACCAACGGGUUUCGAAAGGCUGGACUACUGUGUGAUGAAGAGGACAGCGCGAGCUAAAGGGCUUGUCUGCCUCGAGACGAGUGACUGAUAGCGACAAUGAAAGAAAGACUAACAAAUGUGGGAUGAAGGAAUUCUGACGCUGAAGAAGACGACUUUAGUGGUUUUAGUUUAGAGGAUGAGGAUGUCAAUGAAAGACUUUUCUGGUAGGCUACCGUUAAACUAACCGUGCUACACACACUGUUCGGCACUGUUUGGGGAAAAAAAGCAUUUAUUUAAUCAAAUGGGGAAAAAAAGCAUUUAUUUAAUCAAAAGUUGAAAUACUUCUGUAACUGUAACAUCUUUCAGUGUACUAAAUAUCCCAUGUUACGACGUGGACACCUGCAACACAGGUGCGGCAUAUAUAUGUACAAAUCUUAUGUACUACUUUGCUCAGUCCAUAAAUACCGUCAUACCUGGGAGGCUUAUUCAGCCUCCCAGGUAUGUUAUUUAUGCUGUUGUGUAGCUGGGUAACUUUUACAAUCACCUGACACCUAUUCAGCCUGUUUCUCGGUGUGCUAUUCUGUAGUUAAUUCUGUAGUUAAAUAAUUUACCUUUCCAGAUUAAAUGUCUGCUCUUGGUCUUGCAUUUUGUGAAAUAAAUGCAUAAAUAAAUUAAACUUAUAUUCCAGUGCAACUUAUAUGUGUUUUUUUUUUCUUUUCAUGACGCAUUUUUUGACCGACUUAUACUUCGGCUCUACUUACAGUCCACAAAAUAAGGUACUAAACCAAAGGCCAAAUAUUUAUUUAUAGAAGGUGUCUUUGGGAGAAGGCCUGCCCGAACAUGCGCUUUAAAAGGGAUAGUUUGGAUUUUUUUAUUUUUUAACAUGAAGUUGUGUGAUAUCUCAAUCAGCAGUGUAGUGCAUCAGCAGUGACUUACCUCCCACUUCGUCCCGUAAGCCGAGUUCUGGACGGAUUUCAGUUAUGAGGACCGUAGUUGGUGGGGCCACUUAAGUAAAGAGUUGGGCUUUUCAAAACAAUAUAUGUUCAAAAGAGAUACAUUUGCAUCACAAAAAUACCUCCUCAAAAAAUCCAAACUAUCCCUUUAACCCUCCAAAGGGGAGAACUUGUGUUUGAAGAGAGGAAUUUAUUUAUUCAAAUGGACGAUUAAUUGAGGCUGUGUCUUUGUAGAGAGGCCACUAUUUGAGAGACUACUGUCAACAUGUUCCCGCUCUAUGUGGUCAUCUCACCAGUAGUAUUUGUCAGGUGUCGGUGAUCCUGUUGCCUUGCAGCACAACAUCGCCCGCCCGCCCUCAUAUCGCACCUUGUCCUCGGGGUGCUUCACAAUGUAGGGCUUAUCUGUAGAAAGUGGAGAGGAGCAGUCGUUGAGAGGCCUUAUACCUGAUUAUAUACUUAUACAUGAUUCAUGUGUAAGUCACACAGCUGACCAGUGUGCUGUUGAAGAAUGAUGAAUUCAGCAGCACCGUGUGUACUUUUAUGGGGUUAUUAGUGACCGUGCAGCCACGUACUGCAAGUGCUGCAUGGAACAAACUGUCCUUGAUGUGUGUUGGUCACUUUACUUUCACUGAAACAAAGAUUAAAUAACUGAAAUCAACAAGAUAUUUAUUCUGACUCGGCACUUUCUGUGUUUGACCAAUUUGCCUAUCUUUAGUAAUGUAGUACUAAAUGAGACGUAAUACAAAAAUGCAAAAUAAUCUGCCACUUUAUAAAGUCAAGUAAAGUGGUGUUUUAGUAAAUUACAUUUUUUGUUCUGGUGGCAGAUUGUUUAGCUUAUUUGGAGUAAUUAUCUCAGAUUUUAGUUCACGUUACUUAAGAUAAUCAAAUUCAUGUAACAGUAGCAUAUGAAUAUAUUUUGUAUUAUGUAUU